rnacentral:rRNA from 1 species
UACGAAGGGGGCUAGCGUUGCUCGGAAUGACUGGGCGUAAAGGGCGCGUAGGCGGCGCAUUUAGUCAGGCGUGAAAUUCCUGGGCUCAACCUGGGGACUGCGCUUGAUACGGGUGUGCUUGAGGAUGGAAGAGGCUCGCGGAAUUCCCAGUGUAGAGGUGAAAUUCGUAGAUAUCGGGAGGAACACCAGAGGCGAAGGCGGCCACCUGGACAGACACUGACGCUGAGACGCGAAAGCGUGGGGAGCAAACAGG